rnacentral:tRNA from 1 species
GGGCCGUUAGCUCAGUUGGUUAGAGCAGUGGACUCAUAAUCCAUUGGUCGAUGGUUCAAGCCCAUCACGGCCUACCA